GACGAACGCUGGCGGCGUGCUUAACACAUGCCAGUCGAACGGUGAAGCGCCUUCCUUUUUGGUGGGUGUGGAUGAGUGGCGAACGGGUGAGUAACACGUGAGUAACCUGCCCCCUUCUUCUGGAUAACCGCAUGAAAGUGUGGCUAAUACGGGAUAUUCUGGGUCUGUCGCAUGAUGGGUCUGGGAAAGAUAUUGUUUCGGUGGGGGAUGGGCUCGCGGCCUAUCAGCUUGUUGGUGGGGUGAUGGCCUACCAAGGCGGUGACGGGUAGCCGGCCUGAGAGGGUGGCCGGUCACACUGGGACUGAGACACGGCCCAGACUCCUACGGGAGGCAGCAGUGGGGAAUAUUGCACAAUGGGCGCAAGCCUGAUGCAGCGACGCCGCGUGAGGGAUGGAGGCCUUCGGGUUGUGAACCUCUUUCGCCAGUGAAGCAGGCCUGCCUCGUUUGUGGGUGGGUUGACGGUAGCUGGAUAAGAAGCGCCGGCUAACUACGUG
rnacentral:rRNA from 1 species